rnacentral:rRNA from 1 species
UACGUAGGGAGCGAGCGUUGUCCGAAGUUACUGGGCGUAAAGCGCGCGUAGGCGGGUUUGAAAGUCGGAGGUGAAAUGCUGGGGCUCAACUCCAUGCAGUGCCUCCGAUACUUCAAGUCUUGAGUGCGGUAGGGAGAAGUGGAAUGGCUGGUGUAGCGGUGAAAUGCGUAGAGUAUCGUAAGGAAGACCAGUGGCGAAGGCGGGGUCUCUGGACGUUCCUGACGCUGAGGACGAAGG